ACGAACGCUGGCGGCGUGCUUAACACAUGCAAGUCGAACGGUAAGGCCCCUUCGGGGGUACACGAGUGGCGAACGGGUGAGUAACACGUGAGCAACCUGCCCUUGACUCUGGAAUAACAGCUGGAAACAGCUGCUAAUACCGGAUAUGACCGCAUGCGACAUCGCAUACGGUGGAAAGCCCUGGCGGUCAAGGAUGGGCUCGCGGCCUAUCAGCUAGUUGGUGAGGUAACGGCUCACCAAGGCUUCGACGGGUAGCCGGCCUGAGAGGGCGACCGGCCACACUGGGACUGAGAUACGGCCCAGACUCCUACGGGAGGCAGCAGUGGGGAAUAUUGCACAAUGGGCGAAAGCCUGAUGCAGCAACGCCGCGUGCGGGAUGACGGCCUUCGGGUUGUAAACCGCUUUCAGCUCCGACGAAGCGCAAGUGACGGUAGGAGCAGAAGAAGGACCGGCCAACUACGU
rnacentral:rRNA from 1 species